UGUAAGCGUAUACCAAAGUUGUUGCAGUUAAAACGCUCGUAGUCGGAAUUUGGCAGUUCCGGAUGUGUGCACGUCGUGUGCGCACUUCGCGGGGAUUGCUUUUGUGGUCUUGCGUAGGAUGAGGCACUUUUAUUAGUGAACGUCCUCACGCAACCACUUUUUACUGUGAGAAAAUCAGAGUGCUCAAAGCAGGCAUUUGCCGUGAAUGUAUUAGCAUGGAAUAAUAGAAUAGGACUUGGUUCAAUUUUGUUGGUUUGUUGGGACUGAGUAAUGAUUAAGAGGGACAGUUGGGGGCAUUUGUAUUUCGGUGCUAGAGGUGAAAUUCUUAGAUUACCGAAAGACAAACUGCUGCGAAAGCGUCUGCCAAGGAUGUUUUCAUUGA
rnacentral:rRNA from 1 species